CAGCAGAUCUCAUAAAUCAUUAACUUACACUGGAAAGCAAGUCAUGAACAGUCUUCACUACUAAACAAAUGCAGUCUUCAAUCUGGUAACAGGGGCAGUUAUCCAUCAGAUGGUAAUACCAUGCUACUUUGACAUAUAUAUUAUGGUACUAAAUGAGUACUGUAUUCACUACAAGUCAAAGUUCUUACAUAACAACCGUUCCAGACUCCUUCCACAUCAAGAAAUGCCAACAGUGCUGGAGUAAACAAGUGCAUAGGCAUCCUCUCAUCGAUUACAGACACCGAACAGUUAUUCAAGGCUUCCCGGUUCUCCAAAUUACCAAGCUAGGUAAAGUGCACCAAUAAACAACUCGCACACAUUCAGACCACCCAACAACGCUGCAGUGAGCACGAAAGGCCACUUAGUAGCUUAAAGAAAGGUUUAUCUGAUAAGAAAAAGGCAAAAUCAUUACUAAUACAUAGAAAAA